rnacentral:rRNA from 1 species
CCUACGGGGGGCUGCAGUGGGGAAUAUUGGACAAUGGGGGCAACCCUGAUCCAGCCAUGCCGCGUGUGUGAAGAAGGCCCUCGGGUUGUAAAGCACUUUCAGUGAGGAAGAACGCCUGGUGGUUAAUACCCAUCAGGAAAGACAUCACUCACAGAAGAAGCACCGGCUAACUCCGUGCCAGCAGCCGCGGUAAUACGGAGGGUGCGAGCGUUAAUCGGAAUUACUGGGCGUAAAGCGCGCGUAGGUGGCUUGAUAAGCCGGUUGUGAAAGCCCCGGGCUCAACCUGGGAACGGCAUCCGGAACUGUCAAGCUAGAGGGCAGGAGAGGAAGGUAGAAUUCCCGGUGUAGCGGUGAAAUGCGUAGAGAUCGGGAGGAAUACCAGUGGCGAAGGCGGCCUUCUGGACUGACACUGACACUGAGGUGCGAAAGCGUGGGUAGCAAACAGGAUUAGAUACCCCUGUAGUC